rnacentral:rRNA from 1 species
UACGGGGGGAGCAAGCGUUGUUCGGAUUUACUGGGCGUAAAGGGCGCGUAGGCGGCCGCUGCAAGUCAGUUGUGAAAUCUCCGGGCUUAACUCGGAAAGGUCAACUGAUACUGCAGGGCUAGAGUGCAGAAGGGGCAACUGGAAUUCUCGGUGUAGCGGUGAAAUGCGUAGAUAUCGAGAGGAACACCUAUAGCGAAGGCAGCUUACUAGGCUGUAACUGACGCUGAGGCACGAAAGUGUGGGGAUCAAACAGG